rnacentral:rRNA from 1 species
GACGAACGCUGGCGGCGUGCUUAACACAUGCAAGUCGAACGGUAAGGCCCUUCGGGGUACACGAGUGGCGAACGGGUGAGUAACACGUGGGUGAUCUGCCCUGCACUUCGGGAUAAGCCUGGGAAACUGGGUCUAAUACCGGAUAGGACUCCGGACUGCAUGGUCUGGGGUGGAAAGCUUUUGCGGUGUGGGAUGGGCCCGCGGCCUAUCAGCUUGUUGGUGGGGUGAGGGCCUAACAAGGCGACGACGGGUAGCCGGCCUGAGGAGGGUGACCGGCCACACUGGGACUGAGAUACGGCCCAGACUCCUACGGGAGGCAGCAGUGGGGAAUAUUGCACAAUGGGCGCAAGCCUGAUGCAGCGACGCCGCGUGAGGGAUGACGGCCUUCGGGUUGUAAACCUCUUUCAGCACAGACGAAGCGCAAGUGACGGUAUGUGCAGAAGAAGGACCGGCCAACUACGUGCCAGCCGCCGCAGUAA